CGGCGGCGCCCCCGACGCCCAUCUCGGGGCCGGGGAGGGGCGCGGGGUGCGGGGCGCUGUGGGCGGCAGGGGGCAGCAGCGGGAACCCGUUGUUCUCGAGGUGGGGGGUGGGGCGGGAAGCCGCGCCCCCCCCCCGUUUCCGCGCCCCGCUCCCUCCCCUCCCCCUCUCGCGCCUUCCCUCCCCUCCCCGCGGGGAGGAGGGCGGGGGCGCGGAGCCCUCCCCCGGGACAGGGGGGCGUGCGCGUCCCCUCCGCUCCCCUCCCCCCCGGCCGGGCUCUCCUGGCUCCCCGAGGCGGGAGUUUCCAGGAAGAGCUCAGAGCGCGGCCGCACCACCGAGCGCACGGAGACAUCAAGUAGUCCCUCAGAGCGACCUUAUUAGAGAAUUCUAGCUGCCAGGGGCAGUCAGAGUCGCAACUCCGAAGAGAUAGGAGGUGACAGCGGGACUGAGGGCGUCAGGGAAAGAGGUCCGAGCUCCCACUUUGCAUUGCCGGAGAAAGACGUGUGGGGGAGGCGGAACGAGUUCCGGCGGAGGGCUCGGGCGCGCCCGGUGGAGUGAAGCGCCGCGCAGUCGAAGCGCUCACGGAGUUAAAGUGGGCGGGAAAACCCGGAACGGACUCUCCCUGACACGCCCAGGACCUCCCGUCCCAUUUUUCGUGGGGGAGGGGACGAAAAAAAAGCAACAGAGUCAAACGUGUUUCCUUUCCCGGCUACGUAAACCCCCACUGGAGAAAAAAGUGAUGACCCGCCACCACGGGGUACGCGCGGCUGGACGCUCAGAUCCCGGCGCGGCGAGGAGGGGCCGCGUGGCUCCUCCUUCUCUAACGUCCGCGCCGUCGGCGCGGGGCGCGCGGUCAGAAACCCAGGCCUGUGCGCUGAAGAAGCCAGGCGCGCGCAUGCGCGCGCUAGCGCGCGCUUCCCGCCCCUUUUCCUGAGAGCGUUCGCUUUCACCCCUCCCCCCACGUUCCUCAGCCGCCACCUCAGAGCCUCCCCCGCACCCAACCCUCUCUUUUCGGGGGAGGUGGCCCAUCUUGCCUAUCCACUGACUAACCCCUUCACCUCAGCUUUGCCCCGCCUCCCCUGAGCUUCGAAGCCACAGUACAUUCACCAAGCCUUCUAAAGAUGACUUUUCUGGCUGCUGCUACUGACUCCAUUCUUUGCGGGAUCCUGGAGAGAGAGACAGAGCAUGAGCAUAGGAAGAGCAGAGCGGAGGAGGAGCAGAGCAAGAGAGGGACACAGAAUUGGAAGCAGGCUCCAGGCUCCGAGCGAGCUUCCAGCCCAAGAGCCCGCCACGGGGCUCAAACUCACAAGCCGUGAGAUCAUGACCUGAGCCGAAGUCGGCCGCUCAACUGACUGAGCCACCCAGGUGCCCCAUACUAUUCUUUUGUUGUUGUUGUUAAGUUUUUAUUUAAAUUCCAGUUAGUUAACAUACAGUGUAAUAUUAGUUUCAGGUGCACAAUAUAGUGAUUCAACACUUUCAUACAACACCCAGUGUUCAUCAUAACAAGUGCAUCCUUAAUCCCCAGCACCUACUUCACCCAUCCCCCCACACCCACCUCCCUACUGUGUUCUUUGUAGUUAAGAUUCCUUCUACUAUUCUUGAAAUGUUCUGUCAGUUUGAAAUUAUAUUGUUUUAGAUCAUUUGUUACACCCCCUCACUUUGAGGAGGUGAAAAUUCAUAUUUUGGAAGGUGAAGACUCGCUCAAGAUCGCAACAAGUUAGUGACGAGAGUUAGGGCCCAAACUCAGAUCUCCAGAUGUCAGUCCUCUUUUUACAACACUAACUGAUCCUUUGGUGUUUGUGUUUGGAUGGCAAAAAUUGAGCCACCGCUUUUUACUUCUCUUUUUAGUUUCUUGGUUCCUUAGAGCUAGUUCCUUCUACUAGAGAACCACAGUAACAUAACUAAAUGCUUCUUUCAGUUCCUUCAUGAUUAGGCAAGGAUCAAUUUGAAGUUUUUGAGCUUAUGGUUGGGAUACCCCUUUCUCUUGUAGGUUCAGCAUCUUUCUUUACUGCCAACCUUUUCUGUACAUAAUUGGUUUCUUUUCUAUGGUAUUACUUGUAACCCUUCUCCCAUAGAGUAAUGGUUUAUUAUAUUGUUUAAACUUUUUUCCAUAGGUCACGCCAUCUCAAGGUCUUUUUAUGUACUCUCAAGAAAAUUGUAUAUUUUCUGGGACGCCUGGCUAGGUUAGUCAGUGGAGCAUGUAACUCUUGAUCUUGGAGUUGUGGGUUUGAGUCCCACACUGGGUGUAGAGGUUACUUAAAAAUAAAAAAUAAUAAACAAAUAAACAAACAAAUAAAUAAAAUGUUAAAAAAAUAAAAUUGUAUGGGGGCGCCUGGGUGGCUCAGUCGGUUAAGCAUCCAACUUAGGCUCAGGUCAUGAUCUCACAGGUUGUGGGUUCAAGCCCCACGUUGGGCUCUGUGCUGACAGCUCAGAACCUGGAGCCUGCUUCAGAUUCUGUGUCUCCUCCCUCUGCCCCUCCCGAUGGCACUCUGUCUCUCUCUCAAAAAUGAAUACAAACAUUACAUUUUUUAAUUUUUUUUUCAACGUUUAUUUAUUUUUGGGACAGAGAGAGACAGAGCAUGAACGGGGGAGGGGCAGAGAGAGAGGGAGACACAGAAUCGGAAACAGGCUCCAGGCUCUGAGCCAUCAGCCCAGAGCCCGACGCGGGGCUCGAACUCACGGACCGCGAGAUCGUGACCUGGCUGAAGUCGGACGCUUAACCGACUGCGCCACCCAGGCACCCCAAACAU